UGGGGAAUAUUGGACAAUGGGCGCAAGCCUGAUCCAGCCAUGCCGCGUGAGUGAAGAAGGCCUUAGGGUUGUAAAGCUCUUUCGACGGGGACGAUGAUGACGGUACCCGUAGAAGAAGCUCCGGCUAACUUCGUGCCAGCAGCCGCGGUAAUACGAAGGGAGCAAGCGUUGUUCGGAAUUACUGGGCGUAAAGGGCGCGUAGGCGGAUCUGCAAGUCAGAGGUGAAAGCCCUGGGCUCAACCCGGGAACU
rnacentral:rRNA from 1 species